rnacentral:lncRNA from 1 species
GUUCCCCUCCAGGGAGGAAGUUGUAAUCUCCCGUCUCCUGUUUCUCUACUGGCGCCUGGUUGGCUUCAUGGCCUGGCACCCACCUUCCUACGAGGGAUCUCCCAUCCUUGCCACUCCGAGUCCCCACAGGGCCAUCCCAGUGCGUUGCCUGGCCAGCCCUCUGCCCUUGGCCUGCCUUUCUCCGCUUUUGCUGUAGGCGUCAUCCCAAAAGCCCUUCCAUCGCAGCUGGGGAGCUCCUGCCCCUGGAGCUGACUCCUCCUUCCUACGCUGCCUUUUGCAGACAAAUGUGUCACCAGCGAGCUCCUCAAGGGGAUCCCUCUGGCCACAGGUGACACCAGCCCAGAGCCAGAGCUACUGCCGGGAGGUGAGUGAGGACUGCCACUCGGUGUCCGGGCUGCCUCUCCCUCCAG